rnacentral:rRNA from 1 species
AUUGAACGCUGGCGGCAUGCCUUACACAUGCAAGUCGAACGGCAGCACGGGAUCAAUCCUGGUGGCGAGUGGCGAACGGGUGAGUAAAGUAUCGGAACGUGCCCAGUCGUGGGGGAUAACGUAGCGAAAGUUACGCUAAUACCGCAUACGAUCUAUGGAUGAAAGCGGGGGAUCGCAAGACCUCGCGCGAUUGGAGCGGCCGAUAUCAGAUUAGGUAGUUGGUGGGGUAAAGGCUCACCAAGCCGACGAUCUGUAGCUGGUCUGAGAGGACGACCAGCCACACUGGGACUGAGACACGGCCCAGACUCCUACGGGGGGCAGCAGUGGGGAAUUUUGGACAAUGGGCGAAAGCCUGAUCCAGCCAUGCCGCGUGCAGGAUGAAGGCCUUCGGGUUGUAAACUGCUUUUGUACGGAACGAAAAGGUUUGGGCUAAUAAGCUGAGCUCAUGACGGUACCGUAAGAAUAAGCACCGGCUAACUACAUGCCAGCAGCCGCCGUAA